UACGGGAAGGGCAAGCGUUACUCGGAUUCACUGGGCGUAAAGGGUGCGUAGGCGGACUAAUAAGUCAGUGGUGAAAUCCUGCAGCUCAACUGUAGAACUGCCAUUGAUACUGUUAGUCUUGAAUUUAGUUGAGGUAGGCGGAAUGUGUUGUGUAGCGGUGAAAUGCAUAGAUAUUACACAGAACACCGAUAGCGAAGGCAGCUUGCCAGACUGCGAUUGACACUAAUGCACGAAAGCGUGGGUAGCGAACAGG
rnacentral:rRNA from 1 species